UACGAAGGGGCUAGCGUUGCUCGGAAUCACUGGGCGUAAAGCGCACGUAGGCGGAUUGUUAAGUCAGGGGUGAAAUCCUGGAGCUCAACUCCAGAACUGCCUUUGAUACUGGCGAUCUUGAGUCCGGGAGAGGUGAGUGGAACUGCGAGUGUAGAGGUGAAAUUCGUAGAUAUUCGCAAGAACACCAGUGGCGAAGGCGGCUCACUGGCCCGGUACUGACGCUGAGGUGCGAAAGCGUGGGGAGCAACAGG
rnacentral:rRNA from 1 species